rnacentral:rRNA from 1 species
UAUUAUUAAAAAUGUAAUUAUAAAUACUUAAGUAGUAAUAGUUAUUUUCUUGAAACUUAAAAAAUUUGGCGGUAUUUUAGUCUAUCCAGAGGAACCUGUUUUGUAAUCGAUAAUCCACGAUGGACCUUACUUAAGUUUGUAUUCAGUUUAUAUACCGUCGUUAUCAGAAUAUUUUAUUAGAAUAAUAAUAUUCAAUAAUUUUUAUUAAAAUUUAUAUCAGAUCAAGGUGUAGCUUAUAUUUAAGUAUUAAUGGGUUACAAUAAAUUUAUUUAUACGGAUUAAAUUAUGAAAAAAUUUUUAAAGGUGGAUUUGGUAGUAAAAUUAUAAAGAUAAAUAAUUUGAUUUUAGCUCUAAAAUAUGUACACAUCGCCCGUCACUCUUAUUAUUAAGGUAAGAUAAGUCGUAACAUAGUAGAUGUACUGGAAAGUGUAUCUAGAAUGA